GGACAGGCAGGCAGUGUGCCUUAGCGCCACUGUGCCGCUGACUGGGAGCCACCCGAGGUGCUGCAUUUAUGGGGUUUUAGCUCUUAGCUCCUGACUGAGCACUCAGUUCCCCAACUGUUGGCACCUGUGUGGGUGUGGGAAUGAGACCUGAUCUGGCAAUUAACUCCCUCUCUGCCAGGGACCCUGCACCUAGUCAUGUUCCUCAUGGUCUGAGCUUCAGAUGUCAUCAAUCUCCACUGUGCACAGGAGCUCAUUAGACUUAACAGAGAUCUACAGGAUCCCUGGUUUAUUUGUGAUGUGAAAUAAUGAAAGUCUUUUGGUCAGGAGAUAUAUAAACCUUCAAGUAUGUGAGAGACAAGGUGAUGACCGGAACCAGUUUCAAGAGAGAAGAGAGCAGCCUCGUUGUCAUCCUGUAGUGGGCAGGUGUUUUUAAUAUGAUCUCAAAGAGUAUAACAGACUAUGACUCUGGUCCUGCAAGCACUUGUGCACAUGCUGUCUUUGUGCACAUGACUAGUGUCAUUGGUUUCAAUGGUUUCACAUGUGUAAAGCUGAAACAGGACCUAAAUACAUCUAGCCCAACUGAAAAGCAGCCACCUCUGGGCAAGAGUGUGCCAGAAACAUGGAGAACCUACCCACAGCACAAAGCAAAUGGGAGAGGAAGAGGGGAAAUUUUGACCCAGGACACAGGGGCAGACCUUGCCUCUUAUGAAAAGCUCCUUAGGCUCUCUAAUGUCUACAAAGAGUGAACAAAACCUAUGGCUGAAAGUUUCCUUAAAGAGACUAACACAAAGUAACUGCAUGGAAGUCAAUUUAUCCACCUCCGAAGAAUGAAAGGUUGAGUUGACCCUGUAAUCAACAAGUAUGAUGUCUUUUGUGAACUAUGAAAAGCAGUACCUGGAAAUCCAUGAAAAUCAAAUUAGAGGUUAUGUACUGAAAAUAAUUUAAAAUGAGUAUUGCUUUCUACAGACUGUGGGACUAUAAUGGUGACACAUUUGGGAGACAAUUUUUUUCAGCUACUAUACAUGUUGCUUGGCAGCUGGGAAGGCAAGGGACUCUCUAUAUACAGAUUAAUCAGGGUCUGACCUUACAGUCCUUUCACAUGCAAAUCUCCCACUGACUUCAAUGGAGAUCCACAUAUGGAGCAAAACAAUACAGAAUUUUCAGGGCCAGUUAUAAGCAGCAACUUCUGUGAUGUGGAAACUGGAUUAUGGCCACCAAACUCAUUUCACACAGGCCACUAUCAACCUGGGCUGGAUUCCAAGUGACAAUUUAUAGGUGGCAGGUGCUAUAUCCUGUUACUAAGCCUCUGGGCCAUGAAGUUGUGGUAAGUGAAAGUUUUUAAAGCACUGUAUUUGCACAAGCAAACACACCCAGGAUAUCCAGGUUACGGCCUAAAGAAUGUCAUAUUCUGACUGACACUAAAGGCCCUCUUCUCUUUUCUCAUCUGCAAUGUGGAUCUUCACUUCUAAAGGCACUAGAUAGCAGGAUCCAAGUAAAGUGUAUUUGUCCUGUGUCUUGUUGAAAGUAUCUGCUAUCUGGUCUAUUUCUAUUUAAGGGGCCCUGUUACAUUCCUAUGCCCAACUAGAGGUUUGAUUUUAAACAUUUCUGUGCUACUUAUAGUAUGUGCCUGGAACUAGACUAACAAAGCUGGCAGUUGUUGCUAGUGGUGGCCAUGUAUUCCAGUGAGGUAGACAGUAGUGCAGUCUGAUUGUCUAGCUUUUUCACUUUAAAUGCAGUAUUUUGGAACUGUAAAUAAAAAAGAUGAAGUCUUAUAUUAAAUCAUUUCUCUAAAACAUUAAGAAGGGGAUCCAUGACUACUUGGGUUCUUAAGAAGUCAAACAAUUAUUUUUGGAUGUUGUAAUCUAAUAUGUCAUAGAGUCACUUAGUUAAAAAUGAAUUUCUUUACCCAGUUACCAUGAAGUUUGCCUAUAGCUAGGAGAAUCAGGGGAUGUUGGUACUGCUAUCCUUCUCAUUUUCUUUACUUCAAGUCCAAAAUAUAGACUAACAACACUAGAGGGCCUAGGAUGAACUGUUAAUAGCUCAGCUCUCUCCACCUCUUCCUGCUGCCUCUACAACUACCAGAUUCUCAGACACACAAGUCUGAUGAGGCUGUACAAGCCACUAAGGACUGUCAGUGUUUGCAAAUUACAGUAACAGAAUUAUCCAGGAUUAGUCAAUAUAAUUUAAAAUGCACUAAAGGAGGCUUGCCUUUGCUGAUACUUUACUGCACAAAAAUAAACUUUUAGAAUGAAAUCAUGGAAGUGUGGAAAAAAAUAUACUGAUGAUAGGAGAAAGGAAGAAGAAAUAUGAUUGAGAGUUCAGAACAUAAUAAUAUUGAAGACCUCAUUUAUAGUUGCAAUAAUCUGUUAAUAUUUUAAAAUACUAUUCUGUACUAACAUUUGGGCUGAGUUUGGUGAGUUCUAGAGCUCACUGAAAGUGAAGGCUUGGCACACACUUUGCAGAGAUUCUGACCCAGGCCUUCACCUUUCACCCUGCCUAUGGCAGCUCCCUUAUCCUUGGCUUCACUUUGGAGGCUCCAGCAUCUGCAAAACAUUGCUGCCCACUUUCUCCAAUGUAUCAAUAAGUCUGAUCCAUAUCACCCCUCAUCCUCGGACUACUCCCCUGGUUUCCCAUUCAUUUUAGGAUCCAGUUCAACACUGACUUUCUUUUCAGCAUUCUCCAUAGAUUUUGCUCCAGCCUGCCUUAAAGACUCCACUUCUUUUGCUUCUGCCUCCCCGCUCCAGCGGCUCAUCUAGCACAACCCUCCUCUUUGACCCUUAAGACAACCACCCUUCCUUUACUGAGACAGCCUAAUUCUGGAGCUCUUGCCAUCUAGAACAACCUUCCCAUAUAAUCCUGUCUUAUAGACACAAUGGGCCUGAUUCUCAUUCACACAGUGGGAUGCAAAGAGGCCUUAAAGUGGGUUGAAAUGUAAUGCCAGAGCAGUUUUAAGGGGCCUCAAUGUAAAUGAGAAUCAGGCCCAAUCUGUUUUCAAAUAUUAACUGAAAACUUCUCUCUUAUCCCUUGCCUAUAUCUCUGAAUUUCUCUUCCCUUCUGCUAGUAUUUAACUUUGCAUUAUUUAACUUUUUUACACAUUUUGGGAGAGACUUUGCAUGAAAAACACCAUACCAAAUGAAGUGCUGUGCUGUAUAAUUGGGAUUAAUAAUAGUAAUAAAAUCGGUGUGUGCGUUUAAAGCAGUCACCAAGGUGCUGUAUAAACAGAGGGUAACUGCAUCUGCCAUUUAAGCAGUUACGUUUUGGCUUAGAUAAGAAACACCACAAAUAAAAGACUUUCAGGAAAGAAAGUUAUUUGCCCCUUUUAUUGCCUGCAAAAUGCCUGGAGAGUUUCAAAGCAACAGGAACCAUUAUAAAAGUGAGUGGGAAAUAAAAUAAAAACGUUUUGUUGCCUUAGAAACAGUCCUAUUCUUCUUACUUUUCCUUUGUGACAUAUUAGCCUUCUGUAUGUUUUGGCACCAGAAAACAUAUUAAAACAAGGCGGGGGGGUGGGGGAGGAGAGGUGUUAGUUCUUUUUGCAGAGACUUGGAAUUUCUCUGCAUAUUGAAACUUAUAUCUGUAGGAAUGGGUUACACUGUAAAAAAGGAGCAAGCAAACAGAACUAAGCUUCUUAAAUAUUCAAUUUAAUUCUGUGUAGAGCAAUUAAUCCUGAAAAUUUCCUACCAUGGGAGAGUGUAAAGACUCCAGGGCUGUUUUCUGGCUGCAGAUGCAAGGGGCUCCCAUUGAUAUCAAUGGAAGUGGUGUGCUUGGUGCAUAUCAAAAGCCAGAAUAUGACUCCAAAUGUAUUCUUGCAAAAUAGAACAAAACCCACUGGGACUGCGGACAAUGAAUUUUUCUCUGCCCAGCCGAAUAUUUCUCUAGGAUAUGAGAGCUGUAAAAUAAGUUUAAACUGUUUUUGGAUGAGUAAGUAGACAAAACUUUAUCUGUAUAACAGAUCCAUACACCGAUUGUGUACACAAAGUAGUAGCAUAAUGCAAUUUAUUUAAACUGGUGAGAAAAUAUCCAGGCACUUGCAAGAAAUGGAAUUUUGA